rnacentral:rRNA from 1 species
GAUGAACGCUGGCGGCGUGCCUAAUACAUGCAAGUCGAGCGAACAGAUGAGGAGCUUGCUCCUCUGACGUUAGCGGCGGACGGGUGAGUAACACGUGGAUAACCUACCUAUAAGACUGGGAUAACUUCGGGAAACCGGAGCUAAUACCGGAUAAUAUAUUGAACCGCAUGGUUCAAUAGUGAAAGACGGUUUUGCUGUCACUUAUAGAUGGAUCCGCGCCGCAUUAGCUAGUUGGUAAGGUAACGGCUUACCAAGGCAACGAUGCGUAGCCGACCUGAGAGAGUGAUCGGCCACACUGGAACUGAGACACGGUCCAGACUCCUACGGGAGGCAGCAGUAGGGAAUCUUCCGCAAUGGGCGAAAGCCUGACGGAGCAACGCCGCGUGAGUGAUGAAGGUCUUCGGAUCGUAAAACUCUGUUAUUAGGGAAGAACAAAUGUGUAAGUAACUAUGCACGUCUUGACGGUACCUAAUCAGAAAGCCACGGCUAACUACGUG